AUUGAACGCUGGCGGCAUGCCUUACACAUGCAAGUCGAACGGCAGCAUGGAGAGCUUGCUCUCUGAUGGCGAGUGGCGAACGGGUGAGUAAUGCAUCGGAACGUACCGUGUAAUGGGGGAUAACGUAGCGAAAGGUACGCUAAUACCGCAUACGACCUGAGGGUGAAAGCAGGGGAUCGCAAGACCUUGCGUUAUACGAGCGGCCGAUGUCAGAUUAGCUAGUUGGUGAGGGAAAGGCCCACCAAGGCGACGAUCUGUAGCGGGUCUGAGAGGAUGAUCCGCCACACUGGGACUGAGACACGGCCCAGACUCCUACGGGAGGCAGCGGUGGGGAAUUUUGGACACUGGGGGCAACCCUGAUCCAGCCGUGCCGCGUGAGUGAAGAAGGCCUUCGGGUUGUAAAGCUCUUUCGGCCGGGAAGAAAUCGCACAGGCUAAUACUCUGUGUGGAUGACGGUACCGGCAUAAGAAGCACCGGCUAACUACGUGCCAGCCGCCGCUGUAA
rnacentral:rRNA from 1 species